rnacentral:rRNA from 1 species
GAAUUCACUAGUGAUUCAGGCCUAACACAUGCAAGUCGAGCGAUCUUCUUCGGAAGAGAGCGGCGGACGGGUGAGUAACACGUGGGUAACCUGCCCUGUACACACGGAUAACAUACCGAAAGGUAUGCUAAUACGAGAUAAUAUGCUUUUGUCGCAUGGUAGAAGUAUCAAAGCUCCGGCGGUACAGGAUGGACCCGCGUCUGAUUAGCUAGUUGGUGAGGUAACGGCUCACCAAGGCGACGAUCAGUAGCCGACCUGAGAGGGUGAUCGGCCACAUUGGAACUGAGACACGGUCCAAACUCCUACGGGAGGCAGCAGUGGGGAAUAUUGCACAGGGGGCGAAAGCCUGAUGCAGCAACGCCGCG